CUCGAAGCGCGUCGUGGUAUUUCGCGUAUUGUAAUUUCAACACGAGCGGGGUCAAAUCCUUUGCAGACGACUUAGCUGUGCGAAACGGUCCUGUAAGCAGUAGAGUAGCCUUGUUGUUACGAUCUGCUGAGGGUAAGCCGUCCUUCGCCUCGAUUU
rnacentral:rRNA from 2 species